CUCGGCGGCCUGACACGGUGAAACGGCUCUUCUCAUCCAACAAAAUAGACAACUCCUAUUUCUAACAAAUGAAUGACUUAUUAGACAGCGUUAUCAUGGGACGUGGAAGUACGGAAGCAAGUGCAACCUCAUGAGGGUCUCUGAUGGAGCUGGAGCCUUUCCCAUCAGCCACUGGGCGAGGAUGGGUUACAUGGAUGGCCACAGAUGGAGGUCCAGGAUGCCAUCCAUCCCCUCAGAGAAAAUGUAAUCUUUUCAAUGCAGCUGAGACUUACCAUCCUUUUAGCACCUGAUCCUGGGUCUGCCCCAAGGUCUGCUGCCAGAAGUCAAAUCCAGAAACAUCGAACGACAUCGAAGUAGAGGCGUCGAAAAAGGACCUUGCCACUCUCAACCUCCAACAAUGGGCUUCCUAGGCUCCGCUGAUUCACAGCGAAGGAGAAAUCAUGCAGAGGAUAAGAUAUUCUUCUGUGUCCAAAUGAAUCUCAUCUUUCAACGCAAAGCUGUGGCUGUCAUCCCAAGGUCAACUCAGUGAUGAUAUUGCCUCUCCGUCUACUACAGUCGCUCACAAUGAAUUAUUCACACGUACAAUCAGAGCUGAGAAGGAACCAACACACAGCAAAGCCAAACUCAGGCUCUCCAUCCAGCUAUAUAUAUAGAAUUGUUUUUCUAUACAAAACCCAGAUUUGACAGCAGCACUUAAGGUCCAUUUCAUGUUUUAUGAGCCUGCUGUAACAGCACAACAUAGCGUACUUAUGAUUGACGCCCCCUAUGGAUAGUUUUUCCACCAAACAACUGCAGUACACUGACAUUUAAAGAUCCCAGUCAUGACCUUCCUGAAAUUGUCCAUCACUUUCUCCCCUGUAUGGCUGGGACUCAGAUAAUGAAAGUGUCAGAGCUUUAACCAAUAUGGUGGUGCUAAUGUUCCCCUGUCAUAUCCCAUCACCAGUGUUGCAUCCACACAUGCCAUGCCUUCCACCGUUAGGAGAAAGUACUAUCGAUUUAAUCAAAAUAAGACAAAUGCAUCAAGGAAUUCAUGUUUCAGCAUCACCUGCAUGUGAAUAGUACUCAUAGGUUAUUUUAAGUGAAAUACAAACUGCAAACAGAGAAGAUUCCAGUUCAAGAUAAUGUUAUAAAUAAAUAAAAUAUAAUUAAAUAAAAUAUUACUUGAAGAAAGACAUAAAGAAAUAUCCAAAAUACUUAC